rnacentral:lncRNA from 1 species
AGUCCAGUUAAUUGCAAAGUGUUCUGUGAGAUUUAAUGUAUUUUAAAUACUAGUAAUUAUUAUAUUUUCUCUUAAACAUGGUUUAUUUAAGCACAAAUUCUUAAUAUGUUUAUAAUUUUUUCAAGUUUUAAUACAAUAAUUAUAUGACAAAUUAUGUCAACAAAGGAUAUAUGUAUUUCUUAUAUCUAAAUGCUACGGAUUAUAAAAAUGGAUCAUAAUCUCAAAAAUCAAAUGGGGUAUGAAAGUUUUGAUGGUUGCGUUCAAACAAAAUCAGAGUUAAACAGGAACAUGAUUCUUAAAAAAGCAGGAAAGUUGUGGAAUGUGUUACCUUGGACAUUAGAAAAAAUAAUCAAAACAAUCCUUUGCAACAUCCGUCAAGACAUGUAGUAAAUUGUUUUCAAUAUGAUAUUCUUUUUGGUACCGGCAGUGGCUCCAAUGUAUAUGUUUUUUAAAGAAGAAUAUCUUUUAUUUAUCGAAUGAAUUUUUUUGCAAUGAGAAUGAUUUACAUGAUUUUAUCCAUAUUGUGUUUUCUCUUAUAAAUUAGUUUACAACUAACGCUGAAAUAAAAGCCAUAUUAUACC